GAUGAACGCUGGCGGCGUGCCUAAUACAUGCAAGUCGAGCGAACAGACGAGGAGCUUGCUCCUCUGACGUUAGCGGCGGACGGGUGAGUAACACGUGGAUAACCUACCUGUAAGACUGGGAUAACUUCGGGAAACCGGAGCUAAUACCGGAUAAUAUAUUGAACCGCAUGGUUCAAUAGUGAAAGACGGUUUUGCUGUCACUUAUAGAUGGAUCCGCGCCGCAUUAGCUAGUUGGUAAGGUAACGGCUUACCAAGGCGACGAUGCGUAGCCGACCUGAGAGGGUGAUCGGCCACACUGGAACUGGGACACGGUCCAGACUCCUACGGGAGGCAGCAGUAGGGAAUCUUCCGCAAUGGGCGAAAGCCUGACGGAGCAACGCCGCGUGAGUGAUGAAGGUCUUCGGAUCGUAAAACUCUGUUAUUAGGGAAGAACAAAUGUGUAAGUAACUAUGCACGUCUUGACGGUACCUAAUCAGAAAGCCACGGCUAACUUCGUG
rnacentral:rRNA from 1 species